rnacentral:rRNA from 1 species
GACGAACGCUGGCGGCGUGCUUAACACAUGCGAGUCGAACGGUGAAGCGCCUUCCUUUUUGGUGGGUGUGGAUGAGUGGCGAACGGGUGAGUAACACGUGAGUAACCUGCCCCCUUCUUCUGGAUAACCGCAUGAAAGUGUGGCUAAUACGGGAUAUUCUGUGUCGGUCGCAUGAUGGGUCUGGGAAAGAUAUUGUUUCGGUGGGGGAUGGGAUCGCGGCAUAUCAGCUUGGUGGUGGGGUGAUGGCCUACCAAGGCGGUGAGGGGUAGCCGGCCUGGGAGGGUGGACCGCCAUGGUGGUACGGCGCCGCCGACCAUCCUCCGAGGGGAGGCAGUAGUGGGUAAUAGUGCACAAUGGGCGGAAGCCUGAAGCAGCGCCGCCGCGUGAGGGAUGGAGUCCUGCGUGUUGUGAACUUCUUUCGCGAGUGAAGCAGGCCUGCCUCGUUUGUGGGUGGGUUGACGGUAGCUGGAGAAGAAGCGCCGGCUAACUACGUG